UGAUGUCCUAUCGGCCACUUUGCAAUUACCAAACCAUACACAGGUGCAGGAAGUUAAAAAAAAAGCACCAGAGCUGCCUCUAAUUCAUAAAACGGCUCUCUCUUUUUUUUCUCUUGGCAUUUGCCAUUUCUCUCCCCACCCCCACUGGAAAAAUCUCAAUUUUUCUGUCCUUCCCUUUUGCUCUCCUGGUCCUAGUUUCCCCAAUCUGCGGAAAAGUAACCUGACUUGGUUUGAAAUCUGCUGGAGCUAAAAGCACUUUUCUGAUAACAGAGAUAGGCAAUUGCGGCCAAUUUCAGAAGAGUGUUGUCGCUGGGUGAAGAUGGCAUGCCUUUAGCCGAGAGGAAAUGCUUAGCAAUUGAAAGAUGAAUGUCUUCCGUCCGUUUAGCCAACUGGAUAGGAAAGGUAACCGACUGCAUCCAAAUAUUCUCAAAAGCUACAACCUACGAACAAAUAACUAGAGAGACAAUUUAUCAAACCGUUCCUAAAAAUAGAGGGCUGCCAGAGAGAGGAGGGGGGUCAACCUAUUUUCCAAAGCACCUGAAGGCCAGACAAGGAAUAAUGGAUGGAAACUGAUCAAGGAGAGAUUCAACUUGGAAAUAAGGAUAAGAAUUUUCUGACAGUGAGAACAAUCAACCCAUGGAACAGAAGUUGCCUUCAA